AUUUAUAUAUUUUAAAUAAAAUAUUGCAUUGAAGCUGCAAAGAUGAUAAGUUGUCUAUAAGUA
rnacentral:tRNA from 1 species